rnacentral:rRNA from 1 species
GGAUUCCCCUAGUAACGGCGAGUGAAGCGGGAAGAGCUCAAGCUUAAAAUCUCCGUGCAAGUUUUGUGCGGCGAAUUGUAGUCUAUAGAAGCGUGGUCAGCAUGGGCACUUGGGGCAAGUUCCUUGGAAGAGGACAGCAUGGAGGGUGAUACUCCCGUUCAUUUCUGAGUUGCUCGUGCGUACGACCCGUUUUCUUUGAGUCGCGUUGUUUGGGAAUGCAGCGCAAAGUAGGUGGUAAAUUCCAUCUAAAGCUAAAUAUUGGUGCGAGACCGAUAGCGAACAAGUACCGUGAGGGAAAGAUGAAAAGAACUUUGAAAAGAGAGUUAAAGAGUACCUGAAACUGCUGAAAGGGAACCGAAUCGUUUCCAGUGUCUAUAAUCCGUGGUAUAUUUCAUUGGCGAGUGUGUGCGUGCGUGUGCUGUGGCAGCGGCUUUUUUGGCUGCGCUCGGCGUGUGUGCUGUGUGUGCUUGCUGGUGCUCUGUGCUGCGGUGGGACGUCAAGGUCAGUUCGUAUGCUGCGGGAAAUGGCUGCCGAGGAGGUAGGGCUUACGCUUGCGUUUGUCUGUUAUAUCUUGGUGGACGAGUAGUCGCGGUUGGGACUGAGGUGCCUACAACGUGCUUUUGAGUGGGUUUGUGUCUCCGUGUGCGCCGUGUGCGGAUAGCUUGCUAUGCGUGUGUGGUUGUGUGUGGAUUGAUGCGAGCUUUAACUUGUUGCCGUUCGGGACGUUGACGAAAUGGAGCGAUUCGACCCGUCUUGAAACACGGACCAAGGAGUCUAACAUGUGUGCAAGUGUUAGGGUGUGGAAACCCCAGCGCGAAAUGAAAGUGAAGGGCAGCGUAAGUUGUCUGAGGUAGGAAAUGCUGCGGGCUUCGGUCUGCGGUGUGGCACUAUCGACCGAUCAUGAACCUUCGUGGUGAAAGAUUUGAGUUUGAGCACAUAUGUUGGUACCCGAAAGAUGGUGAACUAUGCCUGAGUAGGGUGAAGCCAGGGGAAACUCUGGUGGAAGCUCGUAGCGAUUCUGACGUGCAAAUCGAUCGUCAAACUUGGGUAUAGGGGCGAAAGACUAAUCGAACCAUCUAGUAGCUGGUUCCCUCCGAAAUUUCCCUCAGGAUAGCAGCAACUUAUUUACGAUAGUUUUAUGAGGUAAAGCGAAUGAUUAGAGGAUUCGGGGAAGAAACUUCCUCGACCUAUUCUCAAACUUUAAAUCUGUAAGACCUGCAGGUUUCUUAAUUGAACUUGUGGAUG